AAUCAACGCUGGCGGCGUGCCUCAGACUGCAAGUCGAACGAUUAAAGCUCUCUUCGGAGAGUGUAUAGAGUGGCGCACGGGUGAGUAACACGUAAGUAAUCUACCUUCGAGUGGGGAAUAACGUCCGGAAACGGACGCUAAUACCGCAUAAUGCAGCGGCAUCGCAAGAUGACAGUUGUUAAAGAUUUAUCGCUUGAAGAGGAGCUUGCGGCAGAUUAGCUAGUUGGUAAGGUAAUGGCUUACCAAGGCUACGAUCUGUAACCGGUCUAAGAGGACGGUCGGUCACACUGACACUGAAUAACGGGUCAGACUCCUACGGGAGGCAGCAGUCGGGAAUUUUGGGCAAUGGGCGAAAGCCUGACCCAGCAACGCCGCGUGAAGGAUGAAGUAUUUCGGUAUGUAAACUUCGAAAGAAUAGGAAGAAUAAAUGACGGUACUAUUUAUAAGGUCCGGCUAACUACGUGCCAGCCGCCGCCGUAAGAC
rnacentral:rRNA from 1 species